UACAUUGUUUUCGAAUAUUUUGCAUGUAUCAAAGCUCUGAUAAACAAGAUAGGGUAUUCCUACAUAGCUGGUGGGAGCCACGGCAAAUGGAUCUUAAAGUCUUCAAAAAAGAAUACAUACGAUUGCAUUGCAUGUAGUAACGGAUGCGAUCAUACCAGCACUAAUGCACCAGAUCCCAUCAGAACUCCGCAGUUAAGCGUGCUUGGGCGAGAGUAGUACUAGGAUAGGGGACCAACCAGAAAGUCCUCGUGGUGCAUCCCACUUUUUCUUUCGGUUUUUCUCUAUUUUGUUUUGUUAAAAAUGUAUGACUCUAUAACGUUUAGACCGUGAGGCAAAACUUGGAAUGUGAUACCUUUUCGGAAAGCCCAAAGAGAGCUCUCCGAUAAAUGAGGAAGGAAAAUGGAAUUCUUCUAUUGGUUUUUUAUUCUACUCCAAAUUUUGACCUUAAUGUACUUUUUUGGUCUUUUUGGUGAUCUUUGCUAUAUGACAGGGCGAAAAUUAUAUGAUCGGACAUUGUUUUCGAAUAUUUUGCAUGUAUCAAAGCUCUUAUAAACAAGAUAGGGUAUUCCUACAUAGCUGGUGGGAGCCACGGCAAAUGGAUCUUAAAGUCUUCAAAAAAAGAAUAGAUACGAUUGCAUUGGAUGUAGUAAACGGAUGCGAUCAUACCAGCACUAAUGCAACGGAUCCCAUCAAAACUCCGCAGUUAAGCGUGCUUGGGCGAGAGUAGUACUAGGCUGGGUGACCUCCCGGACAGUCCUCGUGUUGCAUCCCUCUUUUCUUUUUCGGUUUUUCUCUAUUUUGUUUUGUUAAAAUUGUAUGACUCUAUAACUUUUAGACCGUGACGCCAAACUUCGCAUGUGAUACCUUUUCGGAAAGCCCAAAGAGAGCUCUCCGAUGAAUGAGGAAGGAAAAUGGAAUUCUUCUAUUGGUUUUUUU
rnacentral:sRNA from 1 species